UGUGGCUCAAUGGUAGAGCACCUGCCUAGCAUGUGUGAGACACUGAGUUCAAGUCUCAGCA
rnacentral:tRNA from 1 species